AGGCUUGAUGACGUAUGCUGCCUGCAUAUUCGACCUUCGGAGGAUGCAGCCUUCCGUUUGAGAAACGGCCUACAAGUGUGAGCGUGCGCGAGAUUCUGUCCGAAUUGAUUCUUCCCACAUUUUAAGCCUUUAAACAUCUAAACAUGUCCUCCAAAAAGGAAAAAGGGAAAAACAUUGGAAAACAAUUUCAGCCUAAGGUUUCCUGUGCUGUUUUGCUCCAUUUUACAGAACAAAAUAAGUGCUGAGGUAGCACCAUCCUUGUGGUUAUAGUGAAAGAAUGUGGGUAUUGAGACCAAAAUAAACAAUGUACCAUUCUGGACAAACAGCUGUGGACAAUAUGCAGUCAGAGUAGCCUAUUUUCUCACACAGGUAAAGUAUGCAAAGUAAUACCAAACUUCUUUUUAA